AUAUCCAUUAUGGAAAAUUCAACAUUAAUAUUAUAAUAUUUAUUUAUAAAUAUUAUAAAAAUAGUGUGCAAUUUUUCCAUAUAAGGACAUUGUAAUCUGUUAAUGUAAUAAAUAUUUAUCAUAAGAUUCAAUAAAUAAAAGUUUAUUCAAAUUAGUUAUUUUCCGAUUUCUAACAUAGAAUAAAUUUAAUUGAAUUUGAUAAAUCAUUGACAGAUUUAUUUAUAUAUAGUGCUUAAAUUCUUAAUUGAAUUUUACAAUAAUUUAUAAAUGUAUUUUCAUUUAUUUAUUUAUUGUAUGUACUUAUAUGAUUAACAAUGCUAUAGAUUCAGGAUACCUUCGGGACCCGUCUUGAAACACGGACCAAGGAGUCUAACAUAUGUGCAAGUCAUUGGGUAUUUUUAAUAAAACCCAAAGGCAUAAUUAACUUAACUGUUUUUAAUAUGGGAUUAAUUUAUAUUUUAUUAUGAAAUAUUAAUUCAAUCCCGGGGCGUUCUAUAUAGUUAUGUAUAAUAAUAUUUAUAUUAUUUAUGCCUCUAACUAGAGCGUACCUUGAGCAUAUAUGCUGUGACC
rnacentral:rRNA from 2 species